rnacentral:lncRNA from 1 species
UUAGGUUAAUUGGUGUGUGCUUAAACGCGUAAUCAGAGGGUCAGUUUCAUUCCGGCGACGACGAUAUAAUACAUACCCUAACUUGUCAAUCGAAGUAAUCCCAUUAUAGGGCCGAGGAUACUUUUUUGUGCACACGUUAUUUUCCAUACACAGUGACUUCUGAUUAAAGACACCACAUGGACCAUGGAUCAUGUGUUUUGUUACUAAAUUGUAAGCUUCCGGGUCUUCCUCUUUGUUUGGGAGC